CCUACGGGUGGCUGCAGUGGGGAAUAUUGCACAAUGGGCGCAAGCCUGAUGCAGCCAUGCCGCGUGUGUGAAGAAGGCCUUCGGGUUGUAAAGCACUUUCAGCGGGGAGGAAGGCGUUAAGGUUAAUAACCUUGGCGAUUGACGUUACCCGCAGAAGAAGCACCGGCUAACUCCGUGCCAGCAGCCGCGGUAAUACGGAGGGUGCAAGCGUUAAUCGGAAUUACUGGGCGUAAAGCGCACGCAGGCGGUCUGUCAAGUCGGAUGUGAAAUCCCCGGGCUCAACCUGGGAACUGCAUUCGAAACUGGCAGGCUAGAGUCUUGUAGAGGGGGGUAGAAUUCCAGGUGUAGCGGUGAAAUGCGUAGAGAUCUGGAGGAAUACCGGUGGCGAAGGCGGCCCCCUGGACAAAGACUGACGCUCAGGUGCGAAAGCGUGGGGAGCAAGCAGGAUUAGAUACCCCUGUAGUC
rnacentral:rRNA from 1 species